rnacentral:tRNA from 1 species
AAAAUAUUAAAAUUAAAGCUUCUAACUUUAUAAUUAGAUUAGUAAUCUUAUAUUUUU